rnacentral:rRNA from 1 species
UACGUAGGGUGCAAGCGUUGUCCGGAAUUACUGGGCGUAAAGAGCUCGUAGGUGGUUUGUCGCGUUGUUCGUGAAAACUCACAGCUCAACUGUGGGCGUGCGGCGAUACGGGCAGACUGGAGUACUGCAGGGGAGACUGGAAUUCCUGGUGUAGCGGUGGAAUGCGCAGAUAUCAGGAGGAACACCGGUGGCGAAGGCGGGUCUCUGGGCAGUAACUGACGCUGAGGAGCGAAAGCGUGGGGAGCGAACAGG